CGGGAAUGCUUGGGAUCGAAUUCC
rnacentral:siRNA from 1 species